rnacentral:lncRNA from 1 species
GGGCGGGUCGAGGAGCUCGGCGCCCCGCUUUCUCCACCCCGGCGCGAACCCACACGCCCCGAGCUGCCCGCGCGCCCCUUGCCUGCGACUCCGCUCCGCUCCCCCGCGCGCCUCGCCUGCGACUCCGCUCCGCUCCCGCGCGGCUUCUCCACGCCCUCGGCCGCCGCUCCUCGGUUCGCCCGGGUGAGAAAAUCCCAGGGCGGAGCCUGCGGAGGAGGCGGAGGAAAGGCGGCGGAUCCAGGAUGGGCAGGAGGUGCAGCACUUGGUCCGGGAUUCAGAAAGGAGUUCCCGUCGUGGCGCAGUGGAGCCCCCGUCCCUGGAGGUCGAAGCUCUAGCUCCUCGGAAAGGAUGCGCCUCUUUCUGAGGGCAGGAGCCAGGCUUUGGGCACGUCUCUUGGGAGGGGAGACUCCAGACGUCUAUCCCGCUGCCCACCUGGUCGUUGAGCCCACUUUGCCUGCAUCAGAUUACGGCUCAGCAUCACCACGCAUGGCCUGGCAGCGGGCAGACUUUCACCGGAAUUUGGACAAGCAGCUUCCCCGGGGUGGGGGCCACCUUCUGGCGCCACGUGUCUGCUGGCACCAGGGCCCCUCUGCGUGCACACCCUCUGGGGGCCAACGGGCCUGAAAGUCCGCAUUUGAUGCCUAGGGCCGGGGGCACAGUCCCAGAAUCCCCGUCACCCAUUUACUCUGUCCUUCGCAAGCCUGGGUCGGGGCGGUCCUGCAGGCAGGGCCGCAGAGGGCGUCAGAGGGUCUGUUCCUUCCAUCGUCAUCCUUUGGGGAAGAGUUAAGCUUUUCCUCCUCUUCGGUGGGGGGAAGGAAGUGUUUUCUGACUCCCUUCCUGGGGCUUGUGGUGGCUUUCAGAUUUUUAACUCCAGGAAAUGCGCUUCCUUCCUCUUCUUUGGCCCUGCCCCUGCCCAGAGGUCCCAGCCUCCAACCCGUGAUCACACCUUUUUUUUUAGCGAAGAUUUUUCCUCGGUUCUUUUUUUUUUUUUACUUUUCUUUUUCUUUUUAGACCCACAUCCCCAGCAUCUGGAGGUUCCCAGGCUAGGCAUCUAAUUGGAGCUGUAACUACUGGCCGCAUGCCACUCUCAUAGCAACACGGGAUCCGAGCUGCAUCCGCAACCUAUACCACAGCUCACGGCAACGCAGGAUCCUUAACCCACUGAGCGAGGCCAGGGAUCAAACCCGCGUCCUCAUGGAUGCUAGUCAGGUUCGUGAACCGCUGAGCCACAGAGGGGACUCUUUUUCCUCGGUUCUUUGCUGUUCCUUUCUGUUCUUGUUCUUCUAACUUCUCUCUGUGUUGGGGAUUGUUUAGAUUUUAAAUUUAAGCCGAAUUUGUUGUUUUCCUUCUGACAAGGCUGCGUUCGAGCAUCUCAUUACUUCGUCCUCCCCUGACCCGGCCUUCAAUACACUUGGGACCUUGCUGUCUUUGUAGCUUCGUUUUAGCAAGAAGCGUGUUUUCAGCAUUCAUCCUUCCUAAUCAAGACCAGAUACCUUUCCAUCCAUCUGAGCGCUCUCUUCCCUUCUUCGUAGAAGUGGCUGCUUUGUUGCCGCUUCCGUGAAGUAGCCUCACCCCUGCCUUUCUCGGGGUGGGGGGGCAUCUGAGCAGGAUCAAGAGUGAUGGGGUGGGGGAGCAGGUGGGGAUGAACCCGGCCCGCAGCUCCUUCCAGGGUUCUUGCCGGGGUGGCAGGUGACCCGCAGCAUCCAGACCUGCUCCCCGCAGAACCCUCACCUGCAAAGCUGUAGAUGUACCUGGGGUUGUUCUGGGCAGAAUUACAUUCAUUUCUACGUCCUUGACAUUUGUUGGUUGGUUUAAUCUCAUAAAAGAAAUGUUCGCAUGUUGAGAUACAGGGCAGAAACUCUGGCUGAUACAUGAGGUAACUUGAAUUUAUUUUUUUUUCCUUUUUAGGGCUACACCCGAGGCAUAUGGAAGUUCCCAGGCCAGGGGUCAAAUCGGAGCUGCAGCUGCUGGGCUGCACCACAGCCACAGCAACGUGGGAUCUGAGCCACGUCUGCAACCUACACCACAGCUACACUUUAACCCACUGAGAGAGGUCAGGGAUCGAACCUGCAUCCUCCUGGACACUAUGUUGGGUUCUUAACCCGCUGAGCCACAAUGGGAGCUCCUUGCUCUGGCUGAUACGUGAGUUAACUUGAAUUUACGCCAACUGAAGCAGCCUGUGUAUGGCCACUCAAACAUACGUUGCGCGUCUGCUUUAAUCAUGAGAGAAAUGGACACACUGACCAGACGUAAGGAAGUCAUGUUAAAAAUAAAGAUUAGGAGUUCCCGUCGUGGCGCCGCAGAAACGAAUCCGACGAGGAACCAUGAGGUUGCAGGUUUGAUCCCUGGCCUUGCUCAGUGGGUGAAGGACCUGGCGUUGCCGUGAGCUGUCGUGUAGUUUGCAGAUGCGGCUCAGACCCUGCAUUGCUGUGGCUGUGGCGUAGGCCGGCAGCUCCAGCUCCUCUGAUUAGACCCUCGUCUGGGAACCUCCAUAUGCCGCCAGUGUGUCCCUAAAAAGACCAAAAAAAAAAAAAGGGUCAAAGUGUUGUUUAAAUCACUUGCUUGGCUAUUUUGAUGGCAUCUGUCAAGUUUUAAAACGAUUUCCAGAGUUCCCACUGCGGCCAGCAGGUUAAGAACCUGACAUAGUGUCUGUGAGGAUUCUGGUUUUUGCAUCUUGUUUUGUUUUUCUUCUUCAAGCGAGCAAAAUCUUUAUUAAAGGAAAGCAAACAGCUCCCAGGGCUGCUGGGAGCAGGGAGAAGAGCCCCCCCCCCAUUGUCUUAUAGGGGUUUUUGUUCCUUAAAGAUGGGGU